rnacentral:rRNA from 1 species
AGCAGUCGCCACGGGAAUACAGAGGGUGCGAGCGUUAAUCGGAUUUACUGGGCGUAAAGCGUGCGUAGGCGGCUUUUUAAGUCGGAUGUGAAAUCCCUGAGCUUAACUUAGGAAUUGCAUUCGAUACUGGGAAGCUAGAGUAUGGGAGAGGAUGGUAGAAUUCCAGGUGUAGCGGUGAAAUGCGUAGAGAUCUGGAGGAAUACCGAUGGCGAAGGCAGCCAUCUGGCCUAAUACUGACGCUGAGGUACGAAAGCAUGGGGAGCAAACAGGAUUAGAUACCCCCUAGUCCCUGUCUCUUAUACA